rnacentral:rRNA from 1 species
UACCAGACUCCUACGGGAGGCAGCAGUGAGGAAUAUUGGUCAAUGGUCGGGAGACUGAACCAGCCAAGCCGCGUGAGGGAGGAAGGUACAGAGUAUCGUAAACCUCUUUUGUCAGGGAACAAAGGCGGGGACGUGUCCCCGGAUGAGUGUACCUGAAGAAAAAGCAUCGGCUAACUCCGUGCCAGCAGCCGCGGUAAUACGGAGGAUGCGAGCGUUAUCCGGAUUUAUUGGGUUUAAAGGGUGCGCAGGCGUUCUGUUAAGUCAGGGGUCAAAGCCCGGGGCUCAACCCCGCUCCGCCGUUGAAACUGGCGUUCUUGAGUGGGCGAGAAGUAUGCGGAAUGCGUGGUGUAGCGGUGAAAUGCAUAGAUAUCACGCAGAACUCCGAUUGCGAAGGCAGCAUACCGGCGCCCAACUGACGCUGAAGCACGAAAGCGUGGGUAUCGAACAGGAUUAGAUACCCGAGUAGC